UUGCCCUGUUGGUGAGGUGACCUGGGGUCAGACUGUUGAAAACACAUGUUCAGUCUCAACUCAGGUUUUAGUGAGACUGCAGACACCCAGCAUCUCCCUGACCUCUCCUAGUGCAGGUCUGGUCUGGGGUCCUGAAGGUGCAGAGAUCACCAGGGGUUACGGUUUUGUCUUCACCUGCUCCGUUAACUCCAGAUUUUCCAGUGGACGUUUCUUUCUCAUCUUCUCUGAGUCCAACAUCACAGACAGCAAGCCAGCAGUCAACAACUCAGCCUCCUUUAGUUUCCCUGUAGCUGAGUAUGAACACCAAGGCAACUACAGCUGUGUGUAUGAAGUCACAGUGUCCACACGGACAUUCAGUUCUACUGCAACAGCACCCAUUACUGUCAUCAUUAAAUUUCCUCGGAUGCUGCUGGUCUCGUCUGUAGUUGCUGUGGUCCUGUUGCUCCUGCUGGUCUUUUUGGUGGUCUUCCUGGUGCUCAGGAGAAGGAGACAAACACAGCUGGGCUACAGCCACACCAGAAUGACUCUAACAAUCUGUGAUGAAGAUGAUGACGUCAGUGAAAAAAGAUAUGGAUUCUGAGAGACUGAACACCAAAGAAAUCACACUGAACAAACAGGAAGAGCAGAGAAAGAGAAGAAAAGCAGAUGAAGAUCAAAGCAGUAGUGAUGAAAAUGAUCAUGUAUUUGCAACUCGGUCAUUUGGUGAACAAACUGUGGACCUUUGUAGAGAACAAAAAGAUGUUUAUCAAAAUCUUUAGGUUAAUAUUGAUUAACAUUGAUCCAUUCAGUUUAACACAGAAUAUCAGCCAGAAGAAACUAAAACUCUCGUAUCUUUCUACAAUGAGACUACCACGUGGUCAAAUAUUUCAUAUAGGUUAAGAUUAGUAGCUACAGUGUCCAUUAACUGAUCAUUUAAGCUUUUCUACUUUUCUUGGCUUACCGUAUUAUUGUCAUAAAUUGUCAUUUCUGUUACACUUUUAACCAGUUAUAAAAACAAAAAAAACACAAUUAUGUUCUAACCUAUUAGACAGAUUAUAAAUUCUGUUUCUGUUUUAUAAU
ensembl:lncRNA